UGGUAGAGCGGAGGACUGUAGUG
rnacentral:piRNA from 1 species